AGUUCUCAGGCGAGAGCCGCGGCUGACAGGGUCUGGGACAGAAGGAAAGCCCUCCAGCCUCCAGGCCCUGCCUUCUGCCUGCACAUUCUGCCCUGAUUUCCGGAACCUGGAAGCCUAGGCAGGCAGUGGGGAACUCUGACUCGCCUGUGCUCUGGAGCUUGAUCCGAAAGCUUCCACAGUGAGGACUGCUCCGUGGGGGUAAGAGAGCACCAGGCACUGAGGCCUGGGAGUUCCACAGACCAACACCCCUGCUCCUGGCGGCUCCCACCCGGGACUUAGACCCUCAGGUCCCUAAUAUCCCGGAGGUGCUCUCAAUCAGAAAGGUCCUGCUCCGCUUCGCAGUGGAAUGGAACGGAUUUAGAAGCCUGCAGUAGGGGAGUGGGGAGUGGAGAGAGGGAGCCCAGAGUUACAGACGGCGGCGAGAGGAGGGGCGUCUUUAUUUUUUUAAGGCCCCAAAGAGUCUGAUGUUUACAAGACCAGAAAUGCCACGGCCGCGUCCUGGCAGAGAAAAGGCUGAAAUGGAGGACCGGCGCCUUCCUUAUAAGCUCGUUGGGGCCUAAGCCAGUACCGACCUGGUAGAAAAAGCAACCACGAAGCUAGAGAGAGAGCCAGAGGAGGGAAGAGAGCGCCAGACGAAGGUGAAAGCGAACCACGCAGAGAAAUGCAGGCAAGGGAGCAAGGCGGCAGUUCCCGGAACAAACGUGGCAGAGGGCAAGACGGGCACUCACAGACAGAGGAGUGAUUAUGCAGUGGGACCCUGCUGCAAACGGGACUUUGCACUCUAAAUAUAGACCCCAGCUUGGGACAAAAGUUGCAGUAGAAAAAUAGACAUAGGAGAACACUUAAAUAAGUGAUGCAUGUAGACACAGAAGGGGUAUUUAAAAGACAGAAAUAAUAGAAGUACAGAAGAACAGAAAAAAAAUCAGCAGAUGGAGAUUACCAUUCCCAAUGCCUGAACUUCCUCCUGCUAUUAAGAUUGCUAGAGAAUUGUGUCUUAAACAGUUCAUGAACCCAGAAGAAUGCAAUUUCAAUGUAUUUAGUACACACACAGUAUGUAUAUAAACACAACUCACAGAAUAUAUUUUCCAUACAUUGGGUAGGUAUGCACUUUGUGUAUAUAUAAUAAUGUAUUUUCCAUGCAGUUUUAAAAUGUAGAUAUAUUAAUAUCUGGAUGCAUUUUCUGUGCACUGGUUUUAUAUGCCUUAUGGAGUAUAUACUCACAUGUAGCUAAAUAGACUCAGGACUGCACAUUCCUUGUGUAGGUUGUGUGUGUGUGGUGGUUUUAUGCAUAAAUAAAGUUUUACAUGUGGUGAA
rnacentral:lncRNA from 1 species